UACGGGGGGGGCAAACGUUGUUCGGAAUUACUGGGCGUAAAGGGCUCGUAGGCGGCCAACUAAGUCGGAUGUGAAAUCCCCAGGCUCAACUUGGGAACUGCAUCCGAUACUGGAUGGCUUGAAUUCGGGAGAGGGAUGCAGAAUUCCAGGUGUAGCGGUGAAAUGCGUAGAUAUCUGGAGGAAUACCGGUGGCGAAGGCGGCAUCCUGGACCGACAUUGACGCUGAGGAGCGAAAGCUAGGGGAGCAAACGGGG
rnacentral:rRNA from 1 species